GGUAACGUGGGGGCAGCGGGCGCGGUAAGAAAGAGGUGGGAAACGUUGGUCGUAAGUACUGGGCAUGAAGCGCACGUAGGUGGUCUGCUAAGUCGCGUGUUAGAUGUCCCGGCUCAACCGGGGAAUGGCGCGUGAGACUGGCAGGGUAGAGGUCGGGAGGGGUGAGCGGAACUCCUGGUGGAGCGGUGAAAUGCGUAGAUAUCAGGAGGAACACCGGUGGCGAAAGCGGCUCACUGGCCCGAAUCUGACACUGAGGUGCGAAAGCUAGGGUAGCAAACGGGAUUAGAUACCCCAGUAGUC
rnacentral:rRNA from 1 species